CGUAGGCGGUCUUGUAGGUCAGAUGUGAAAGCUCCCGGCUUAACCGGGAAAGUGCAUUUGAAACCAUGAGACUUGAGUAUGGGAGAGGGAAGUGGAAUUCCUGGUGUAGAGGUGAAAUUCGUAGAUAUCAGGAGGAACACCGGUGGCGAAGGCGACUUCCUGGACCAAUACUGACGCUGAGGCGCGAAGGCGUGGGGAGCAAACA
rnacentral:rRNA from 1 species